UUACGGCAGCGCCGUAAAGCGAAAGACGGCGCAGGCUUCGUAGCGCCGGCCUCGUUCGGCUUUUCGUCCUUGCUCAGCUGUGUUUGGGACCAGGUUGGGGAGGCGGCUGGGGAAGCGCCGAGAAAGCAAAAGAGAGAAGCGGAAAGUGAAAGGAGCCGAAGAAUUGGAAAGGGAAAGAAAGAAAGGGGGUUGAGAGAAGUGUGUCGUCCUGGCUGUUCCGGCAGGAAGGGGUUACAGGCGGCUGAUGUAGUGAGCCACGCGUGUCCCAGCCAUAUCUGAGUUAUGAGUGGUUGCAGGGAAAGGAGGCAGGUGAGAGACUUGCAAUCCCCGCAUCCGAGGCUUUUCUCUUCUUUUUCUACCAAGUUGUUCACUGCAAUGGGUGAAAGUCCCAACCCGCGGAGGAGUAAACCAGUUGUGAGAUAGACACAGAGCCUGGAAGAGAAACCGAGGGUUAAGACGCGAGAUAACUGCAGGGGCAAAACUUGGCCACACGGGAAAUUGGAAAUCAAGAUUGUUCAGAAGUUUGUAAUGUGGUUUUCAUGGUUGAUAUUCGUUGUGUUAUUAAUGUGUGGAAAUAUAUAACUUGCAAGUGCAUAAGCCACUGGUUCUGUGGUGUGGUGUCGACACAGACCGUAUAAAACUUUUGACCAUCUCAAAAACCAGAUUUAUCAAACCUUAACAACUGUUCUGAAGGCUGUAGAGCUCUCGGCAUAUGAAGGCUCCCUCUGAACCUCUGCACUGAGACUUGUCCAAACUCUUGCUGAGGAAAAUUCAAUUAACUGUCAAGUUAAGAAGAAAAAAAGGGAAUUUUAUUUGAGCCAAACUGAUGGUGAUAACACAGGAAGCAGUCUCAGAAAGCUCUGAGGACCAUUCUGCCUGUUAGAAGUCGAAGGCACGGUCAUAUACAUUUUUGAAACAAAGGAUCAUACAUCAAAAUGACCGACUAAUAUUUUACAUAAACUUCACCAAAGAUACAUAGUCCAGACAGAUUAACAGGGGACUUCCCUGGUGGUGCAGUGGUUAAGAAUCUGCCUGCCAAUGCAGAGGACACAGGUUUGAUCCCUGGUCCGGAAAGAUCCCACAUGCCGUGGAGCAACUAAGCCCGUGCGCCACAACUACUGAGCCUGCGCUCUAGAGCCUGCGAGCCACAACUGCUGAGCCUACGUGCCACAACUACUGAAGCCUGUGCACCUAGAGCCUGUGCUCCGCAACAAGACAAGCCACCGCAAUGAGAAGCCCGCUCACUGCAACGAAGAGUAGCCCCCGCUCGCCGCAACUAGAGAAAGCUGCGUACAGCAAUGAAGACCCAACGCAGCCAAAAAUAAAUAAAUAAAUACAUUUAUUUAAAAAAAAAAAAAAGACAGCAAACUACAUUUGCAUCCCUUAACUAGGGAAGGGCAACCAUCAAGUUUCAAGGAAGCAUCUGGACUGCGGACGCUGUCAAUUAGCCUUGUAACUUUAAAAGGAAUUUAUCAAAUUUAGCAAAACAAGUGACGACUAACCCUGCAAGAUCGGCUCAGGAGACCAGGAGAAAGUGAGUAAAAGAUGACUCUGGCUGCACACCUAGUCGGGGCUGCGGGACCCAGGACUAGGAAGCUUUGCUCUCUGGGUUUUGUCCCUCCCAGAUUUCUGAGCUGACGAGCAGUCGCUCCACACUGCAGCUUGAGCCAAUUGUGAAAGACCCAACCAAGCCCAGCCCAGCAGAAGGAACGGUUUCGGGGCUGUGUGUUUCUCUUUGAUAAAGGAGCCCUUCCUUGUUCUUGCUUUUACUCUCUCUGGUAUUUGAUGGAACAACCCCCCAGAAGCAAUUUAGAGUGACUGGUAAAACAAAGUAUACCAAAACCUCGCAGCAACCAGAAGGAUGAAGCUCUUUCUGGACUGCCUCCAGCUUCUGUCCUUACUGCUCAUCUGCACCUUAAGAGUCUCUCCUGAAGCUUUUCAUUCCUAAGAAGAGAAAAGCAGUCACCGGAGAAAUCGUCCUGAUUACUGGAGCUGGACGCGGAAUUGGGAGACUGACUGCCUAUGAAUUUGCCAAACUUAAAUGCAAACUGGUCCUGUGGGAUAUAAAUAAGAUCCAACACAUAAGCGAUAUAUGAUGUUUGGAGUUCUCUGACAUACUUCACUUAGUGUGAUAAUCUCUGUGUCCAUCAUGCUGCUAUAAAUGCCAUUAUUUCAUUCUUUUUUAUGACUGGGUAAUAUUCCAUUGUGUGGGUGUGUAUAUAUAUAUAUAUAUGUAUGUAUAUAUACACACCACAUCUUCUUUUUCCAUUCAUCUGUUGAUGGAUGGUCCUAUCCAGUCUUAACUGGCUCAGAUCGAACUAGACACUGCUGACUCCAAGUCCCUGGAAAAUCACUGGGGCCAACAUCGUAUUGUUUGUGGAGGACAUGCAAGUCUUAAAACGACCUUGAUCAGUGAAAGCAGGUGAAAUGGAUUAAAGCCACAGUUUCAGAAAGACAUGUCUUCUUUCCUGGCAAGGACUUGAUCAGUGAGAAACCCUGAACUCUUUGCUACAGCCCUCCCAAUGUCCUUUCUGUCUAUAAAAGAGCUCUCCUCUCCAUCUGUGCUGGGGACUUGCACGUGGCUCGCCAUGGUGGCAGAUCCCAAAUGGCAAUUCUGUGAGAACCAACCCAUCUUUUCUGGAGAAACUUCUGGCCAUCUAUUUGUUUCAGGUUAGCAAGAGGGAGCUUUAAAAUGGCACACUGAGACUUAAAAGCCAACACCAGGAGGGGACCCACAUUUUCUCUUAUUCUGUUCUCUGAAACAAAUUGCAAAGCCCCACUCAUCUCAAGGGGGCUGUAAAGGUAUAUGUAACAAGGGGUAAGAAAAAAUAAUGUUAACCACAAUUCUUGAGUCCAAUUAGACACUCAUGAAAUUUACAUUAAUACUGAGGGCUAGAAAUAAAACUUUCCAAAUACAACUUAUAAAUACAUAAACAUAGAAACUGUUAAUAAUUUUGGCUCAAUUUGAUAGCAUUUGUUCAAUAAGUUCAUAGAAGAUAUUUCUUUUAAGUAAAAUAAGCCUUAAAACAGUUUUCAUUAGGAGAAUUAUAAAGCAUUAUUAUUAUGAAAUUUUGGUGAUUCGUCAGAAAAAAAUCACGGAGUGUGAUGUCUAAACACAAUGGAACGAAAGAAGAAAAAUCUCUUAACUGAGAAAGGCUUCUGUGGAGGAGGAUCUAGGAGCUACGUAGAUGACUGGAGUGACGUGCUGAAGACCAGAGGUGGGUGGAGGUACGUCCCAACCAGAAACACACAGUCUCACACACACACACACACGUUUCGUGCUUUGCGUGGUUCUGAUACGCACAAAGUUCUGUCACGCUGGUUAGUUAAAGAACACAUCCUGCAGUGGAUCAAAUGUCAUCAAUAGUUAACCAGGGUAUAUUAACCAUAUUUCCAUAAAGUAUAAACUAUCUGGACCCAGAGGGUGGGGUCCCCAGCCAGAGAGGAUUACUCCCAGACCUUGAAAGCUCAUGAAAUUGUUCUGCUGGAUUUCAAAUUUGCCCUAGCAACGUGGUGCCGCCACACCCUGGUCUUCUCUCCAGCACACGUUGUCUAACAGCGACUCUCCUAAUGUUAGCUAUUUUUGCAAUCUGGGUAGGCUGAGGAUCUCCAAAAUCAUCAAGUCCUGCUUUUAUUUUAUUUUAUUUACUUAUUUAUUUUCUGACUGGUCCCCUUAAUCGAUGUCCCUCCUCUCACAUUUUUCUGUAAGCAGCAAGAAGGAACCAGGACACACCCUCAACACAUUGCUUGGAAAUCUCAGCCAAAUAUCCAUGUGAUUCCCUCUCAAGCUCUGCUUUCCACACAGCUGUAGGACACAAUUCAGCCAUCUUUUUCCCCCACGAUAUACCAAGAGUCACCUUUCAUCCAGUUUCAAGUCACACGUUCCUCAUUUCCAUCUGAGUUCUCACCAAAGCACCUUUAAAAUUCAUGUUUCUGCCAACAUUCUCCCUAGGACAGUAUGUGUAUUCUCAAAGGCUAAAAUUAUUCGUCAUGAGCUCCCUGUUGGGCUGGUUAGUGACACUGUCAUACCAUAUGGGUUAGAAUACAGAGGACUAACAAUACUAGUAGGGAAAACCAGAAUCCUGAUGAAAUGCCUAAAAGGGACAAUCGUUCCAUACAGUUGAAUCUCCUAGGAUAGGUGAUUUGAAGAGUUGAUGUCCGUCUCCUCUUCACACUUGGACCCAGAGCAAUCGGACAUCAGACCUUAUCACUCAGUUGACACUGUUUUCAGAAAUUUCAUAAGUGAUCUGGAAGUCAAGUCACUUGACUUUAGCUCUUUUUUACUUUUCUUUGCUUAUUGACUCUGUUCUUGGCCGCAAAAUUGACAAGAAUCAACUGUGAUUUUAUACCAGUUCUCUGCUUGCCAGGAAUCACAUGAACAAGAACUUUUCCCAUUAGAAUUCUGUGGCCUUAAAGUGGGGGGUUAUGGAGGAGGGGCCAGAGCAGGGGCCCUAGGACAGCGGUGUGGGGUGCAGUGACAUAGUUUCAAUCUAAUGCCCACAGGACUUGCAGUUGGACUGAUUAGUUGGGAUUAAGGAAUGAGAAUUCGAAGAUUCUUCCAAGAAUUUCUGCAUUUGCACUUGGGCAAAUGAUAGUUCCAUUACUGAGAUGUGGAGAGUAGGAAAUGAGUAGUUUUCUGAAUUGCAGAGGAGGUUGGUGGAAAAUAAGAGAUACAUUUUACCGAUUAGAGGGAAAAAUCAUUUCAAAGAUGCAGAGACAAGACAGUGUGGGGAAUUGCUGUUGUUCGUUACUGUGUUCCCAUCUCCUAUAAUGGUGCCUAGUUAUUAAUUAGUAAGCGCGCAAUAAAUAUCUGUGGUAUUCAUCAACUAGCUAAUUAAUUCUAGAAUAUGCAAAUCUUAUACGUCAAAACCAUGGUCCAGUGCACACCUUGUUAAUUGAUUUUGUCUGCUUGGUGCACUUGUAAGGCCAACAGUCUCUCUCCUUUCCUGUAAGGUGUGACUAAGCCCUUAGCUCUCAUCACAACAAAUAAAAAGUAAAGUCCUCA